rnacentral:rRNA from 1 species
AAUCAACGCUGGCGGCGUGCCUAACACAUGCAAGUCGCACGAGAAAGGGACUUCGGUCCUGAGUACAGUGGCGCACGGGUGAGUAACACGUGAAUCAUCUACCUUCGAGUGGGGAAUAACUGAGAGAAAUCUUAGCUAAUACCGCAUAAUACCUACGGGUCAAAGCAGCAAUGCGCUUGAAGAGGAGUUCGCGGCAGAUUAGUUAGUUGGCAGGGUAAGGCCUACCAAGACGAUGAUCUGUAUCCGGCCUGAGAGGGCGCACGGACACACUGGAACUGAAACACGGUCCAGACUCCUACGGGAGGCAGCAGUGGGGAAUUUUGCGCAAUGGGGGAAACCCUGACGCAGCAACGCCGCGUGGGAGGAUGAAAUCCCUUGGGAUGUAAACUCCUUUCGAUCGGGAAGAUAAUGACGGUACCGAGAGAAGAGCCCCGGCUAACUUCGUGCCAGCAGCCGCAGUAAG